UAAGGCCAAUUAAAAUUAAUUGAUAGAUUUUCAUCCCCGCCCGCCCCUCUGAAAUCGCCCCGCCCCGAUUUUUUUUAUUUUCAAAAAAUUUACGAUUUCCGGAUUUGUUCAUUUCCGUUUCCGGUAAACGUCAAACAUUUCGUUUCAUUCAAAACUUCCUGUUUCAAAUUUGGGUUUUCGUAUUUCUUCCGAGUAAUUUAAAAUGAUUCUGCAGCUCUAUGGUGACAAAUCAUCUACCGAGAAUAGAGAUUGAUUACGAGAAGGGCAUGAAAUACUCGGGAUUCAAGUAAUACGCUGUGUCCAAGAACGCAAAUUGCGGCAUGACACAUAUUUCUGUGAUUAGAACCGUUGAUUAUUUUAUUGAUAAAAUGACUUUGUGUCAGGAAUUUUUGACUAUGAAUUAUAUCCAAAGAGCAAGAAUCGUGGAACACAUUGGUACAAAUAUAACUGGAUUAAACCAAUUGACACAAGCACGAACUUGUUAGAUUCAUGACAGUAUAUUGAGUUCAAAAAGUCGGCAAACAUACACUUCGAUUUACCCAUGGCUAUUGUUUUUUUUGUUGACAAAAAGCAAACACCUUCUGCCCCAAUACCCUCAAUAGAGUCAUUAAACAACUUCUUUUUUGUUUAGUUCAUGUUUUACAUAUUAAUUAUAUCUGCAUCUAUAAGAAGAAUCAUAAAAGCACCAACCCUAUUAUUUUCAAAACUGUUUAAGUUUUCAUUUUAUUCUGUACUCAUAAUUAUUGUGUUGCAUACCAAUGCAUAUUUGUUCCAUUUUAUGGAGACAAAAAAACAUAAAUUUGGUGAAGGAAGUCCAACUGAAGAGAGCAUUUCUCGUAUGUUUAUGCCGUUUACUAAAAAUAGGUUGCUAAAGCAGCAAUUACAUGUAGAACCGUGAGUGGUUGUCAACACUAGAUUUUUAUUUAAGAUUUGAAAAAUUAUGUACGAUUCCUUAUAAAUACAUGUAUAUACAUGAUAUAAGCUUAUUAUUACACUUGGGUAUAUGAAGAACACGUCACAAGAGGGUUUCAUAAGAAAUAAAAAAUAAAAAAUAAAAUCCUCCCACCCGCCCCAUUUUUCUUCAAAAUUUUGGAUGAAAAUCUACUAAUUAAUUUUAGUUGGCC
rnacentral:lncRNA from 1 species